AUGAAGGUGAGGUCAAAGAUCAUGGACAAGAUAAACAAUGGUAGUAGCCGCUGUAGAAGCCAUUAUAAACAUUCUGACUGGUUGUGGACGUUCGGUGGAGGAACCAGACUGGAAGUUAACUGUAAAGUCCCCCCCUCCCUGACGCUGCUGCCUCCCUCCGUGGAGGAGCUGCAGCAGGGGAAGGCCACGCUCAUGUGCCUGGCCAACAAGGGCUUCCCCUCAGACUGGAGUCUGUCCUGGAAGGUGGACGGCAGCAGCAGCAUCAGCAACGGGGAGCAGAGCAGGAGCCCCGGGGUGCUGCAGAAGGACGGCCACUACAGCUGGAGCAGCACCCUGAGGCUCCCUGCAGACCAGUGGAGGAAGGUGGUCUCUGUGACCUGUGAGGCCAGCCAGGGCUCCCAGACUCCGCUCUCAGAGACACUGAGGAGAGACCAGUGUUCCCAGUCCUGACCUGACUCACUGGGACUCUCACACUGCUUUCACUCUCUCUCUGCUCUCUGGCUUUUCUUUCACAUCUUCCAAUAACAGGAUUUACUGGCUUCUUGCUGUGUUUCAAUGUUGUUUCACUGCUUCUAAAUAAUAAAGAUCUGCUCAUCAACUCA